GACGAACGCUGGCGGCGUGCUUAACACAUGCAAGUCGAACGGAAAGGCCCUGCUUUUGUGGGGUGCUCGAGUGGCGAACGGGUGAGUAACCCGUGAGUAACCUGCCCUUGACUUUGGGAUAACUUCAGGAAACUGGGGCUAAUACCGGAUAGGAGCUCCUGCUGCAUGGUGGGGGUUGGAAAGUUUCGGCGGUUGGGGAUGGACUCGCGGCUUAUCAGCUUGUUGGUGGGGUAGUGGCUUACCAAGGCUUUGACGGGUAGCCGGCCUGAGAGGGUGACCGGCCACAUUGGGACUGAGAUACGGCCCAGACUCCUACGGGAGGCAGCGGUGGGGAGUAUUGCACAGUGGGCGGAAGCCUGAUGCAGCGACGCCGCGUGCGGGAUGACGGCCUUCGGGUUGUAAACCGCUUUCGCCUGUGACGAAGCGUGAGUGACGGUAAUGGGUAAAGAAGCACCGGCUAACUACGUG
rnacentral:rRNA from 1 species